CAAAGAUUAAGCCAUGCAAGUCUAAGUACGAGCUCUCGUACAGUGAAACUGCGAAUGGCUCAUUAAAUCAGUUAUGGUUCAUUUGAUCGUACAGUUUACUUGGAUAACUGUGGUAAUUCUAGAGCUAAUACAUGCGAGAAGCGCCGACCUCGCGGGAGGCGUGCAUUUAUCAGACCAAAAACCGGCCGCGUCUUCGGGCGCGUUCGCCUUGGUGACUCUGGAUAACUUUGCGGAUCGCACGGUCUAGCACCGGCGACGGAUCAUUCAAGUGUCUGCCCUAUCAACUUUCGUCGGUACGGUAUUUGCCUACCGAGGUUCUUACGGGUGACGGGGAAUCAGGGUUCGAUUCCGGAGAGGGAGCCUGAGAAACGGCUACCACAUCCAAGGAAGGCAGCAGGCGCGCAAAUUACCCAUUCCCGACGCGGGGAGGUAGUGACGAAAAAUAACAAUGCAGGACUCGUUCGAGGCCCUGUAAUUGGAAUGAGUACACUUUAAAAGCUUUAACGAGUAUCCAUUGGAGGGCAAGUCUGGUGCCAGCAGCCGCGGUAAUUCCAGCUCCAAAAGUAUAUAUUUAAGUUGUUGCGGUUAAAAAGCUCGUAGUUGGAUUUUGGGCGCAGGCGGCCGGUCCGUCGCAAGGCGUGUACUGGACGUCCUGGCCUUCCCUCCGGUUCUCCGCCGGGCUCUUGACUGAGUGUCGGCGGCGGCCGGAACGUUUACU
rnacentral:ncRNA from 1 species